rnacentral:rRNA from 1 species
AUUGAACGCUGGCGGCAUGCUUUACACAUGCAAGUCGAACGGUAACAGGCCGCAAGGUGCUGACGAGUGGCGAACGGGUGAGUAAUGCAUCGGAACGUGCCCAGUCGUGGGGGAUAACGCAGCGAAAGCUGCGCUAAUACCGCAUACGAUCUAUGGAUGAAAGCGGGGGACCGAAAGGCCUCGCGCGAUUGGAGCGGCCGAUGUCAGAUUAGGUAGUUGGUGGGGUAAAGGCUCACCAAGCCGACGAUCUGUAGCUGGUCUGAGAGGACGACCAGCCACACUGGGACUGAGACACGGCCCAGACUCCUACGUGAGGCAGCAGUGGGGAAUUUUGGACAAUGGGCGCAAGCCUGAUCCAGCGAUGCCGCGUGCAGGAAGAAGGCCUUCGGGUUGUAAACUGCUUUUGUACGGAACGAAAAGGUUUGGGUUAAUACCCUGGGCCGAUGACGGUACCGUAAGAAUAAGCACCGGCUAACUACGUGCCAGCAGCCGCCGUAACAC